CCUACGGGGGGCAGCAGUGAGGAAUAUUGGUCAAUGGACGAGAGUCUGAACCAGCCAAGUAGCGUGAAGGAUGACUGCCCUAUGGGUUGUAAACUGCUUUUAUAAAGGAAUAAAACGAGGCACGUGUGCCUUUUUGCAUGUACUUUAUGAAUAAGGAUCGGCUAACUCCGUGCCAGCAGCCGCGGUAAUACGGAGGAUCCGAGCGUUAUCCGGAUUUAUUGGGUUUAAAGGGAGCGUAGAUGGGUUGUUAAGUCAGUUGUGAAAUUUUGCGGCUCAACCGUAAAAUUGCAAUUGAUACUGGCAGGCUAGAGUACAGUUGAGGUAGGCGGAAUUCGUGGUGUAGCGGUGAAAUGCUUAGAUAUCACGAAGAACCCCGAUUGCGAAGGCAGCUUACUAAACUGUGACUGACAUUGAUGCUCGAAAGUGUGGGUAUCAAACAGGAUUAGAUACCCCGGUAGUC
rnacentral:rRNA from 1 species